rnacentral:rRNA from 1 species
UACGAAGGGGGCUAGCGUUGCUCGGAAUCACUGGGCGUAAAGGGCGCGUAGGCGGAUUUCUAAGUCGGGGGUGAAAGCCUGUGGCUCAACCACAGAAUUGCCUUCGAUACUGGAAAUCUAGAGUCCGGAAGAGGGAAGUGGAACUGCGAGUGUAGAGGUGAAAUUCGUAGAUAUUCGCAAGAACACCAGUGGCGAAGGCGGCUUACUGGUCCGGUUCUGACGCUGAGGCGCGAAAGCGUGGGGAGCAAACAGG